rnacentral:rRNA from 1 species
CCUACGGGUGGCAGCAGUGAGGAAUAUUGGUCAAUGGGCGGAAGCCUGAACCAGCCAAGUAGCGUGCGGGAUGAAGGCCCUACGGGUCGUAAACCGCUUUUGCACGGGGAUAACACCCUCCACUUGUGGAGGUCUGCAGGUACCGUGCGAAUAAGGGCCGGCUAAUUCCGUGCCAGCAGCCGCGGUAAUACGGAAGGCCCGAGCGUUAUCCGGAUUUAUUGGGUUUAAAGGGUGCGUAGGCUGUGAGGUAAGUCAGCGGUGAAAUGCCCCCGCUCAACGGGGUGAAGUGCCAUUGAUACUGCCUUGCUGGAAUGCGGAUGCCGUGGGAGGAAUGUGUGGUGUAGCGGUGAAAUGCAUAGAUAUCACACAGAACACCGAUUGCGAAGGCAUCUCACGAAUCCGCGAUUGACGCUGAUGCACGAAAGCGUGGGUAUCAAACAGGAUUAGAUACCCGUGUAGUC